UACAGAGGGUGCGAGCGUUGUCCGGAAUCACUGGGCGUAAAGGGCGCGUAGGCGGCUUGAUAAGGUUGCGGUGAAAGCCCGGGGCUCAACCCCGGGUCGGCCGUGGCAACUGUCGAGCUGGAGCACUGUAGAGGCAGGUGGAAUUCCGGGUGUAGCGGUGGAAUGCGUAGAUAUCAGGAGGAACACCCGUGGCGAAAGCGGCUCUCUGGGACGGUACUGACGCUGAGACGCGAAAGCGUGGGGAGCAAACAGG
rnacentral:rRNA from 1 species